GAAAACUAUAUAUAGUAUUAAUGGGCCUAGUGUUAUUUAAAUUUAAUAAUAGGCCGAAUCGAAAGUAUGGUCUCAGCGAAAGUCGAACCCGAGACCUUACGGCUCGAGCAAGGCUCUAAACAACUGAGCAACGGGACCGGUUCGUGAUAAAAAAAAAAUUAUUUUUUUACAAAAAUUACUAAUACGGGUUAAAGACGAUUAUAUUAGAGCAUGGUCGUUCUAAAAAAGACUUACACAUACAAAACACCUACACUUGUUUUGUCUUAGGCAUCUCCAAUGCAACACUAAAAUUUACUCUAUAUUUCAUUCUAAAAUAGAGUAACUCUAUUAUAGAGUGAACCAUUGGAGCAAAUCCAACUCUAUAAUAGAGUUACUCUAUUUUAGAGUGAAAUAUAGAGUAAAUUUUAGUGUAGCAUUGGAGAUGGUCUUAGAUUUUCGUCAACUACAUUUUACACAAAAAGAGAAACCUAUCUCUUGGAGACUACCACUAACAUCAACAUAGACAUUGAUACAACGAUCUUGAAUCCUGAAUUGUCCCAAAACUUCUGUUUCUCCCAAGAUUCUU
rnacentral:lncRNA from 1 species